AUUGAGAUUAGGGUUUCCGAAAUUAACGUUUUUAGCAAUUAAUUAACAUGACUUACCAAUUCAAGAACUCCGCAACAACUGGGGUUCCACUACCACACAACUAGGGUUCCGGUAGGGGCACAACUCCGGUUCCACUCAUGGAAAAUGACAGCUACGGUUCCAAUGACGGAGGACAAUAGUACCAUAGACAACAACGGUCGGCGAAGGAGAAGAAGGCUCGACGAGGGUGACAACACAAGAACGACGUUUACAACACAAGAACGAGAAGAAUGGUCGACGAAAGAGCAGAAGCCUCUAGAAUAAUGGUUGUAGUGAGUGAGAAUGAUGGUGGCAGUAAGUGAGAAUGAGCGGGGUCAAGAAAGAGGCGAGAAAUAGUCUAGGGCUCGAGAAGGUAUCCAAAGUUAGCUUGAGGGAGGGACUGAGAAAAUUGAGAGAAGAGUCUUUUAACCAGAAUUAUAAUAUUAGCUUUUAUUUUUAAAUUAUUCAUUAACUUUUAUUUUUCCACUUACAUACGGUGUUACAUACGGACCUAUCCUUCGCCAAGACCCCGCCAACACGCCCCAACAUUACACACCGAUAUUAUAUACGGAUAAUCUGUAUAUAACAUUUCCCGC
rnacentral:lncRNA from 1 species